rnacentral:rRNA from 1 species
UCUACGGGAGGCAGCAGNCGGGAAUAUUGGGCAAUGGACGAAAGUCUGACCCAGCAAUGCCGCGUGAGUGACGAAGGUCUUCGGAUCGUAAAGCUCUGUCUUCAGGGACGAAAAAAGUGACGGUACCUUAGGAGGAAGCCCCGGCUAACUACGUGCCAGCAGCCGCGGUAAUACGUAGGGGCAAGCGUUAUCCGGAAUCACUGGGCGUAAAGGGCGAGUAGGCGGCUAUACAAGUCAGAUGUGAAAUACUGAGGCUUAACCUCAGGGCUGCAUUUGAAACUGUAUAGCUUGAGUGCAGGAGAGGAAAGUGGAAUUCCCAGUGUAGCGGUGAAAUGCGUAGAUAUUGGGAGGAACACCAGUGGCGAANGCGACUUUCUGGACUGUAACUGACGCUGAGGCGCGAAAGCGUGGGGAGCAAACAGGAUUAGAUACCCUGGUAGUCCACGCCGUAAACGAUGAGUGCCAGGUGUAGAGGGUAUCGACCCCUUCUGUGCCGCAGUUAACACAAUAAGCACUCCGCCUGGGGAGUACGGUCGCAAGACUGAAACUCAAAGGAAUUGACGGGGGNCCGCACAAGCNACGGAGCAUGUGGUU